UUCGUUUCCAGUUUGCAGAGAGUUAAAUAAAGUUCGUUCAGAGCCAUCGAUGUGUCUGCUUGGGGGGGGAUAUAUACGGCUGUGAUUAUAAUCGAAGAGAAUUCUCUUGGUAGAUAAUGCGGUCUACAUUUGAUUGUGAGGAAUUCUAAAUCAGGUGAACAGAAGGAUUUGAGUUCCUGUAUGGUUAGAGGGGGAGAGGCAGGUAGCCUAGUGGUUAGAGAGAGAGAGGCAGGUAGCCUAGUGGUUAGAGAGAGAGAGGCAGGUAGCCUAGUGGUUAGAGAGAGAGAGGCAGGUAGCCUAGUGGUUAGAGGGGGGAGGCAGGUAGCCUAGUGGUUAGAGAGAGAGAGAGAGGCAGCCUAGUGGUUAGAGGGGGAGGCAGGUAGCCUAGUGGUUAGAGAGAGAGGCAGGUAGCCUAGUGGUUAGAGAGGGAGGCAGGUAGCCUAGUGGUUAGAGGGGGGAGGCAGGUAGCCUAGUGGUUAGAGGGGGGAGGCAGGUAGCCUAGUGGUUAGAGGGUUGGACUA
ensembl:lncRNA